AGAACCAGUUGCUUUUAGAUCUUUCACUAUGUCUGCCAGACAAAGUAACCUUGCAUAUUUCCACUCUAGGAUGAUGAUGAAGAGACCACAUCUGCUGUGACUGAAUUAGAAAGUGCUGGGAGACCCACAGAGAAUGUAGCUGGGGAUGUAAAUGCAGAUGAGGGUCCAACUACCUCUACAUCUAAUCUUAGCAGUUUGUCUGCAAAGGAGCUGUAUAAGGUCCAUCUAUUAAGGCAAAUUAAAAAAAGUGACAUGGACAUGGACCUUAUACAGCUUCAGCAAGAGGAGAAAAGGCUGGCCAUUAAAAAGGCCAAACUUGAAAUCAAAUUGCUGGAGCAUCGCCUUAAGGAUCUGGAGAAAUAAAAGAAAUUAAAUAAAGUGAUUUUGACAAAUCAUGUCUCUAAGCAUUCUGCCAUCUCUGUGGUCUGCUAGAUUCAUUGGGUGUUGUUCUAGGUCCUCUUCAUCAGGAC